rnacentral:rRNA from 1 species
UUAUCAAAAACAUGUCUCUUUGAGAUUUUUUAAUAAAGAGUUGGGCCUGCUCGGUGAUUAAUAUUUAACAGCUGCGGUAUUAUAACUGUACUAAGGUAGCAUAAUAAUUUGCUCUAUAAAUUGGGGCUAGAAUGAAUGGUUUGACGAAAAUUUGACUGUCUCUAUUUUAUUUAUUAGAAAUUAAUUUUUGUAGUGAGAAAGCUUAAAUUGUUUAAAGGGACGAAAAGACCCUAUUGAG